rnacentral:rRNA from 1 species
UGAAUUGAAGAGUUUGAUCAUGGCUCAGAUUGAACGCUGGCGGCAGGCUUAACACAUGCAAGUCGAACGGUAACAGGAAGAAAGCUUGCUUUCUUUGCUGACGAGUGGCGGACGGGUGAGUAAUGCUUGGGAAUCUGGCUUAUGGAGGGGGAUAACUACGGGAAACUGUAGCUAAUACCGCGUAAUAUCGAGAGAUUAAAGGGUGGGACCGCAAGGCCACCUGCCAUGAGAUGAGCCCAAGUGGGAUUAGGUAGUUGGUGAGGUAAAGGCUCACCAAGCCGACGAUCUCUAGCUGGUCUGAGAGGAUGACCAGCCACACUGGAACUGAGACACGGUCCAGACUCCUACGGGAGGCAGCAGUGGGGAAUAUUGCACAAUGGGGGGAACCCUGAUGCAGCCAUGCCGCGUGAAUGAAGAAGGCCUUCGGGUUGUAAAGUUCUUUCGGUAGCGAGGAAGGCAUUUAGUUUAAUAGACUAGAUGAUUGACGUUAACUACAGAAGAAGCACCGGCUAACUCCGUGCCAGCAGCCGCGGUAAUACGGGGGGUGCGAGCGUUAAUCGGAAUAACUGGGCGUAAAGGGCACGCAGGCGGUGACUUAAGUGAGAUGUGAAAGCCCCGGGCUUAACCUGGGAAUUGCAUUUCAUACUGGGUCGCUAGAGUACUUUAGGGAGGGGUAGAAUUCCACGUGUAGCGGUGAAAUGCGUAGAGAUGUGGAGGAAUACCGAAGGCGAAGGCAGCCCCUUGGGAAUGUACUGACGCUCAUGUGCGAAAGCGUGGGGAGCAAACAGGAUUAGAUACCCUGGUAGUCCACGCUGUAAACGAUGUCGAUUUGGGGGUUGGGCUUUAAGCUUGGCGCCCGUAGCUAACGUGAUAAAUCGACCGCCUGGGGAGUACGGCCGCAAGGUUAAAACUCAAAUGAAUUGACGGGGGCCCGCACAAGCGGUGGAGCAUGUGGUUUAAUUCGAUGCAACGCGAAGAACCUUACCUACUCUUGACAUCCAGAGAACUUUCCAGAGAUG